GUCGAACGAAGGCCCUAGCUUGCUAGGUGUCCUUAGUGGCGCACGGGUGAGUAACACGUGGGAACAUACCUCAUAGUACGGAAUAACUGCGGGAAACUGUAGCUAAUACCGUAUAUUCCAGAAAUGGGAAAGAUUUAUCGCUAUGAGAUUGGCCCGCGCAAGAUUAGCUUGUUGGUAAGGUAAUGGCUUACCAAGGCUCCGAUCUUUAGCUGGUUUGAGAGGAUGAUCAGCCACACUGGGACUGAGACACGGCCCAGACUCCUACGGGAGGCAGCAGUAGGGAAUAUUGGACAAUGGGGGAAACCCUGAUCCAGCAAUGCAGCGUGAGUGACGAAGGCCUUAGGGUUGUAAAACUCUUUCAUCGGUGAGGAUAAUGACAGUAGCCGAAGAAGAAGGACCGGCUAAUUCCGUGCCAGCAGCCGCGGUAAUACGGAAGGUCCUAGCGUUGUUCGGAAUUACUGGGCGUAAAGCGCAUGUAGGCGGAACAAAAAGUUAGAAGUGAAAUCCCUGGGCUCAACCUAGGAAUGGCUUUUAAAACUUUUGUUCUGGAAUUCAGGAGAGGAAAAUGGAAUUUCCAGUGUAGAGGUGAAAUUCGUAGAUAUUGGAAGGAACACCAGUGGCGAAGGCGAUUUUCUGGACUGAUAUUGACGCUGAGAUGCGAAGGCAUGGGUAGCAAACGGGAUUAGAUACCCCGGUAGUCCAUGCAGUAAACGAUGGGUGCUAGUCGUCGGACUUUUGUUCGGUGUCGUAGCUAACGCGUUAAGCACCCCGCCUGGGGAGUACGGUCGCAAGAUUAAAACUCAAAUAAAUUGACGGGGACCCGCACAAGCAGUGGAGCAUGUGGUUUAAUUCGACGCAACGCGAAGAACCUUACCAGCGUUUGACAUGGGAAGUGCCGGUUACAGAAUGGUAACCUUCAGUUCGGCUGGCUUCCACACAGGUGCUGCAUGGCUGUCGUCAGCUCGUGUCGUGAGAUGUUGGGGUUAAGUCCCGCAACGAGCGCAACCCUUAUCGUUAGUUACUAACAGUUCGGCUG
rnacentral:rRNA from 1 species